rnacentral:rRNA from 1 species
AGAGUUUGAUCCUGGCUCAGGACGAACGCUGGCGGCGUGCUUAACACAUGCAAGUCGUGGGCAUCUCGCAAGAGAUGACCGGCGAACGGGUGCGUAACACGUGAGCGACCUACCGAACCGCGGGGGAUAGCCGGCUUAACAGCCGGGUAAUACCGCAUACGCCAAACGGGCUGCAUGGCCUGUUUGGGAAACCUCCGGGG